GAUGAACGCUAGCGAUAGGCCUAACACAUGCAAGUCGAGGGGCAGCACGGGAGUAGCAAUACAACUGGUGGCGACCGGCGCACGGGUGAGUAACGCGUAUGUAAUCUACCUACAACAGGGGGAUAACCCGGAGAAAUCCGGACUAAUACCGCAUAAAACAGGGGUCCCGCCUGGGACUAUUUGUUAAAGAUUUAUCGGUUGUAGAUGAGCAUGCGUUCCAUUAGAUAGUUGGUAAGGUAACGGCUUACCAAGUCAGCGAUGGAUAGGGGAACUGAGAGGUUUGUCCCCCACACUGGAACUGAGACACGGACCAGACUCCUACGGGAGGCAGCAGUGAGGAAUAUUGGUCAAUGGGCGAGAGCCUGAACCAGCCAAAUCGCGUGAAGGAAGACUGCCUUAUGGGUUGUAAACUUCUUUUACAGGGGAAUAAAAAGACAUACGAGUAUGUCAUUGCAUGUACCCUGUGAAUAAGCAUCGGCUAACUCCGUGCCAGCAGCCGCGGUAAUACGGAGGAUGCGAGCGUUAUCCGGAUUUAUUGGGUUUAAAGGGUGCGCAGGCGGGAUUUUAAGUCAGCGGUGAAAUACCAACGCUCAACGUUGGAACUGCCGUUGAAACUGGGAUUCUUGAGUAUAGAUGAAGUAGGCGGAAUUCGUUGUGUAGCGGUGACAUGCAUAGAUAUAACGAGGAACUCCGAUUGCGUAGGCAGCUUACUAAACUAUAACUGACGCUCAAGCACGAAAGCGUGGGGAUCAAACAGGAUUAGAUACCCUGGUAGUCCACGCCGUAAACGAUGAUUACUAGUUGUAUGCGAUAUGAUAGUAUGUGACUAAGCGAAAGCGAUAAGUAAUCCACCUGGGG
rnacentral:rRNA from 1 species